rnacentral:rRNA from 1 species
UGAGAGUUUGAUCCUGGCUCAGAGCGAACGCUGGCGGCAUGCCUAACACAUGCAAGUCGAACGGCUCUUCGGAGCAGUGGCGCACGGGUGAGUAACGCGUGGGAACCUACCCCGAGGUACGGAAUAACGGCUGGAAACGGCCGCUAAUACCGUAUGUGUCCUGAGGGAGAAAGAUUUAUCGCCUUGGGAGGGGCCCGCGUUCGAUUAGCUAGUUGGUGAGGUAAUGGCUCACCAAGGCUUCGAUCGAUAGCUGGUCUGAGAGGAUGAUCAGCCACACUGGGACUGAGACACGGCCCAGACUCCUACGGGAGGCAGCAGUGGGGAAUAUUGGACAAUGGGGGCAACCCUGAUCCAGCCAUGCCGCGUGUGUGAAGAAGGCUUUCGGGUUGUAAAGCACUUUCAGUGAGGAGGAAAACCUUACGACUAAUACUCGUGAGGCUUGACGUUACUCACAGAAGAAGCACCGGCUAACUCCGUGCCAGCAGCCGCGGUAAUACGUAGGGUGCGAGCGUUGUCCGGAAUUAUUGGGCGUAAAGAGCUCGUAGGCGGUCUGUCACGUCGGCUGUGAAAACC